ACAGGCUACUGGAUUAUAUCAACUUCUGUACUGUACAGGCCUGGGAAUACAAGGAAACACAACAGGUAAUAUGCUGGGAAAUUGAUCCAUCCUCAUGGACUUUAAGCAACUAACUGUAGAAAAUCAGCAAACAGGUAUUUCUCUGCUGACAGUUGUUGAUUGGGAAGAAGGAAUCUGAGGAAUUCUGAGCUGACUACUGCUGUGGUUGGAAGGUAACACCAUCCUACUGCUCAGCCCUCUCAGGCUGAGGUACAGGGAUGAAAACCAGAUUUAACAUCUGACUGUACAAGAAUUCACUCUUUUUGGAUGACUAAUGCUGCUAUAGCUUAGGGUCAAAUUAUGUCAUGUUUUGUGUGGCUGAUCAAUGUAAUAAAAGCACAGAAGGUGACUUCCUUAUGCCAUGUGCCAUCAUUGCCAAGUCACGGGGAUGUAUUUCACUGUGGUGCUGCGUCCUGCCCCCCCGCUUCACAACACUCUGGAGGCUGACGUUCCCCCAGACAGAGUGAGGCAGAGAGGAUGUUGAUGACUCAUUUUCCCUUCAUUUUCUU